rnacentral:ncRNA from 2 species
AUAGGAUAUUUUCUACGAGCCCGCUUUCCUAAGGCAGUGCUAUGGGGGCGAGGCCUGGGGCUUAAGACCCCACAGGGUUGUAGGAGAAAUCUUGCAGCCUCCCUGUUAUGGAAAGUAGAAAAAUAGGUUUUAAA